rnacentral:lncRNA from 1 species
CAUCUCCAAAAUGAUGAUCAUCUCGAUAUUCUCAUCGAGUCAAGCAACUGCAUUCUCAGUAUUCUCAUUAUACCACCCAUCCUUCAUCACGAUCUCCUUCUCCUUCCCAUGUACAUAGUAUCAAGAAGAAGAAAAGGCCACAUGCACCUUUUCCUUCUCCAUCCUCAAAUUCUUCAGGGAAUUCUACCCCUGAAUUAUCUCAA